rnacentral:rRNA from 1 species
CCCUUAGAUGUUCUGGGCCGCACGCGCGCUACAAUGAUGAAUUCAACGAGUUUAUAACCUUGGUUGAAAAGCCUGGGUAAUCUUUUGAACUUUCGUCGUGAUGGGGCUAGACCCUUGCAAUUAUUGGUCUCCAACGAGGAAUUCCUAGUAAACGCAAGUCAUCAGCUUGCAUUGAUUACGUCCCUGCCCUUUGUACACACCGCCCGUCACACCUACCGAUUGAAUGGUCCGGUGAAAUCUUCGGAUUGAGACUUUGUUUUCUUCACGGAAAACGCUGUUUUAAAAAGUUGAUUAAACCUUACCAUUUAGAGGAAGGUGAAGUCGUAACA